AAGAACUGGCCGUUCAGCAUUGUGGAGCAUGCAAGAGUGCUUCCAUGGAGUUAGACAUUAAAAGAAUUGUUAAAGGUGGCAUUGACUAUGCUAGUUAAUAUGCUCCCAAGCAGUCUUCUUUUCUAGAAGUAAAAGCAAUGUUCAAGAAUGAGUGGAGAAAUAAGGAGGAAGAUGCUGGUUGCAGGGACUCUUAUGACAUGUUCCUUGAUCGUUUGUCUAAAGGAUAAAAUAAUGCCUAUUUUUUAAGUUGGCUCUGGUUCAAGCCACUCUUGUCAUCGAAGCGGUAUUAUUGGUGUCACUCAACCUCGUCGUGCUGUAGUCCCUACAACUGCAAAGCGAGUUGCAUAUGAGCUUGGUUUGCAUUUAGGUAAAGAGGUUGGCUUUCAAGUUAGGUUUGACAAAAAAAUUGGCGACAGUUCCUCCAUCAAGUUCAUGAUAGAUGGAAUAUUACUACACGAGCUUCAGGUGCGCAGCAACUCUUACAUCUACUGUUAGGAUUUGAACAACUAUGCAUCAAAAUCAAAUCUCAACUCUUUUAUUUAGAUAGGUAGCUUAUAUCUGCUACCUUAUCUUAUAUCUCCAUCUAGUGUAGGUUCAAUUUAGGAAAUAGAAAGGAUUGCUCUGGCCCACCCUGUAAUUUUGCCCAACAAUCUACUUUAGAUAGUCUCGUUUUUAGGUCUCCUUUCUGUGACCCUGCAAUAAGAAACAAUGGUAAAAUCGGAAACCAUUUAGCCAUUA